CAUCAGUUUUGAAAAAAAACGAUUUUAAUUUUAUUGGUCUAGCAAUAAACCGCUACUUCAAGUAGCGGUUUGCCUUAAAGAUUCCUAUUCAUCGUUCUCCUUAUUUUCCUCUUUUCCCCUCAACUCCAAACCUUCCUGCUUCCUUUAAUGGCUUCUCUUGCCAUCUCCUUCUCAUCUUCCCUCUCCUCCACCACACCCACCGCACCACCAACCAAACAAAAACUGCCACUUCAUUUUGCUUUUGCACAUAAUUGUGGUUUUUUCAAAUAUAUAUUCCGUUCCGACACAUGUAUAUCCAUUUUCUGAUUUUAGGGUUUAAGCUUCACUUUCACACUCUUCUCCUCCUUAAGUAUAUCAAAAUCAUGAAUUUCAACCAAAUUUGAAGCUACUAUUACCCUAAUUUUCGACAUACUUAGUUUCAGAGGAGAUAUCUAGAGCCAAAGAGUGCAGCUUGAGGAGCGCUAGGAGUGGUGCAGAUGCUCAUGGGAGACACACAACUGGGAUUGCGGGCAAUGUGCCGUCUUCACUUGCCAUCUCCUUCUCAUCUUCCCUCUCCUCCACCACGUCGAACCAUCGAACCCACCAUAGCAGCCCCAGCCACGACCCUCACCCAGCCACCUGCAGCGAAAUCAGAAACUUUCCACAGAAGCUGCUUUAAUGGAGGAGAGAAAGGUGCUUCAAUGGUUAGAUUAACAGUCAAAAGGUGCUUCAAUGGUCGUUCAGAAGUUUUUUUUUUUUAUGUAAAUACUUGAAACCGCAACUUCAAAUAGCGGUUUUCAUAAAAACCGAAAAAAAUUAAAAAAAAAUUAAACCGGUGACAUGGACGGUAAAGCAGAAAUUUAUAAAAAAAAAAAGUGAAAGCAUUUAUGGAA